rnacentral:rRNA from 1 species
UACGAAGGGGGCUAGCGUUGCUCGGAAUUACUGGGCGUAAAGGGCGCGUAGGCGGACAGUUUAGUCAGAGGUAAAAGCCCAGGGCUCAACCUUGGAACUGCCUUUGAUACUGGCUGUCUUGAGUUCGGGAGAGGUGAGUGGAACUCCGAGUGUAGAGGUGAAAUUCGUAGAUAUUCGGAAGAACACCAGUGGCGAAGGCGACUCACUGGCCCGAUACUGACGCUGAGGCGCGAAAGCGUGGGGAGCAAACAGG